rnacentral:rRNA from 1 species
GAUGAACGCUGGCGGCGUGCCUAAUACAUGCAAGUCGAGCGAACGGACGAGAAGCUUGCUUCUCUGAUGUUAGCGGCGGACGGGUGAGUAACACGUGGAUAACCUACCUAUAAGACUGGGAUAACUUCGGGAAACCGGAGCUAAUACCGGAUAAUAUUUUGAACCGCAUGGUUCAAAAGUGAAAGACGGUCUUGCUGUCACUUAUAGAUGGAUCCGCGCUGCAUUAGCUAGUUGGUAAGGUAACGGCUUACCAAGGCAACGAUGCAUAGCCGACCUGAGAGGGUGAUCGGCCACACUGGAACUGAGACACGGUCCAGACUCCUACGGGAGGCAGCAGUAGGGGAUCUUCCGCAAUGGGCGAAAGCCUGACGGAGCAACGCCGCGUGAGUGAUGAAGGUCUUCGGAUCGUAAAACUCUGUUAUUAGGGAAGAACAUAUGUGUAAGUAACUGUGCACAUCUUGACGGUACCUAAUCAGAAAGCCACGGCUAACUACGUGCCAGCAGCCGCGGUAAUACGUAGGUGGCAAGCGUUAUCCGGAAUUAUUGGGCGUAAAGCGCGCGUAGGCGGUUUUUUAAGUCUGAUGUGAAAGCCCACGGCUCAACCGUGGAGGGUCAUUGGAAACUGGAAAACUUGAGUGCAGAAGAGGAAAGUGGAAUUCCAUGUGUAGCGGUGAAAUGCGCAGAGAUAUGGAGGAACACCAGUGGCGAAGGCGACUUUCUGGGUCUGUACUGACGCUGAUGUGCGAAAGCGUGGGGAUCAAACAGGAUUAGAUACCCUGGUAGUCCACGCCGUAAACGAUGAGUGCUAAGUGUUAGGGGGUUUCCGCCCCUUAGUGCUGCAGCUAACGCAUUAAGCACUCCGCCUGGGGAGUACGACCGCAAGGUUGAAACCCAAAGGAAUUGACGGGGACCCGCACAAGCGGUGGAGCAUGUGGUUUAAUUCGAAGCAACGCGAAGAACCUUACCAAAUCUUGACAUCCUUUGACAACUCUAGAGAUAGAGCCUUCCCCUUCGGGGGACAAAGUGACAGGUGGUGCAUGGUUGUCGUCAGCUCGUGUCGUGAGAUGUUGGGUUAAGUCCCGCAACGAGCGCAACCCUUAAGCUUAGUUGCCAUCAUUAAGUUGGGCACUCUAAGUUGACUGCCGGUGACAAACCGGAGGAAGGUGGGGAUGACGUCAAAUCAUCAUGCCCCUUAUGAUUUGGGCUACGCACGUGCUACAAUGGACAAUACAAAGGGCAGCGAAACCGCGAGGUCAAGCAAAUCCCAUAAAGUUGUUCUCAGUUCGGAUUGUAGUCUGCAACUCGACUACAUGAAGCUGGAAUCGCUAGUAAUCGUAGAUCAGCAUGCUACGGUGAAUACGUUCCCGGGUCU